AAAAGCCUGGUGUUCCCGAUCUUUCUGCUCAAUCUGAAUACAUUGAGCAGAGAUAGUGAAUAAGUUUUGAGGGAAAUGGCUCAACCUUAGUACCAACAAAACACAACUAUUGAAUGUCAAAUGCUUCAAUUGUUCUGAAUGUCAUCUUUUCUGUCAUUCAACUUCAACACGCGUUGUCAGUUAGAAAGCUAUAACUGUUACUUCGACUAAAACUAAUUGUGUAAAACUAUGCAAAGGAACAGUGAACAAGAAGUGGAGUCAGAAAUGACUUCAUAGAAAUUGCAAUUGACCUGAUAGUUCUGCUGGGCAUAAUAUCUUUCCUCACGUAUGAUUAUGGAAAUAUCAUAAGGAUGAUAACUAGACAGAUUAGAAGAGCCAAUAGACCGUAUCGCCGCUGACGCGAGAUGAAGACUAUUGCAGAAAUCAGGAAUAAUUUAAAUACAAAAAUUAGAAAAAAAAUGUUGGUAGAAUCAUAAACGUAAACAAGAUUUCUGUGUCUGUGUUGAAAUUGUUUAGUGGUUAUUUCUCAGUUUUGUAAAUGGUGAAUAAAUAUCAUUUCUUCAGUAAAAUACGUGA